rnacentral:rRNA from 1 species
AACGAACGCUGGCGGCACGUUUUAAGCAUGCAAGUCGAACGGCAGUGGGGGCAACCCCAUGAGAGUGGCGAACGGGUGAGUAACACGUAGGUGAUCUGCCUUUGGGUUGGGGAUAGCUUGUGGAAACACAGGGUAAUACCGAAUGAGCUGACGAGGCUUUGGCCAUGUUAGUAAAGGUGCUACGGCACCGCCUAGAGAGGAGCCUGCGGCUGAUUAGCUAGUUGGUGGGGUAAAGGCCUACCAAGGCGACGAUCAGUGGCCGGCUUGAGAGAGUGGACGGCCACACUGGAACUGAGACACGGUCCAGACUCCUACGGGAGGCAGCAUCUAAGAAUCUUCCGCAAUGGGCGAAAGCCUGACGGAGCGAUGCCGCGUGAUCGAUGAAGGUCGAGAGAUUGUAAGGAUCUUUUCCAACUGAGGAAUAAGUGGACCAGGGAAUGGGUUCAUGAUGACGUUAAGUUGGGAAUAAGCCCCGGCUAAUUACGUGCCAGCCGCCGCAGUAA